GACGAACCGAGCGAACGUUGUUCGGAAUCACUGGGCUUAAAGGGCGCGUAGGCGGGCCAUCAAGUCGAGGGUGAAAGCCCCCAGCUCAACUGGGGAAGUGCCUCCGAUACUGGUGGUCUCGAGGGAGAUAGGGGCGUGCGGAACUUCCGGUGGAGCGGUGAAAUGCGUAGAUAUCGGAAGGAACACCGGUGGCGAAAGCGGCGCGCUGGAUCUCUUCUGACGCUGAGGCGCGAAAGCCAGGGGAGCGAACGGG
rnacentral:rRNA from 1 species